AAGAGACCUGCUAUUUCAGUGAAACUAAAGAAUAAAAAUAAAUAAACCAGAAAACCUCUGCAAAAACAAUUUGACACUUGCUAUUGAUUGAAGUAAUGGAGCAAGCAGAGUUCUAAGAAGUUGCAUAAAAGCAUCUUUGGUCUGCCUUAAAAAUCCCUCUAAAAGAUACAGUGAUAUUACUCAUACACUGUUCACCUAUCUGUCUCUUCUCAUCUCUAGGUCUCAAAAGCUGAACUGCUUUAAAUUCACAUGCCAAAGCAGAACCUAUUCUUCCUGACUCUGUGCCCCGCACUCAGCUAUCAGUCUUGCCUGCAAUGCUGUAAAGCACAUAUUGCUGUGGAAGACCCUGGCUGAUGAGAAACACAUAGUUCUUGUUCACCUGCUUGAGCAUCAAGUGGUGUCAACUGGAUGACUGGAGAAGCCCAUCUCUUUCCGUCGUCCUCUGAUACCAGACUUUUCUGGAGGAACUGCCGUUGCCUUGCUGGGAGACCGAAGUGGUGAGAUGCAGACCCGUGGGUGCCUUGCUGGGUCUGCUGUUUUCUGGUUGGAGUAUUUUUCAUAGUCUGCAUUAUAAGAAAACCCACACAUGAAGAAAGGGAGAAAGAAGUAAAUGGAAAACAAACUACAGGCAUGGCCAUUAAUUCUUCUGGGGAAAAGACGCCCCGACUUCUUCAAGCGUCCAGACCUGCUGCAGAAUAUGCGAGAAUUUCAUAUUUACUCAAAAGAGAUCUCCAUGUGCAUGUUAUGAAAUAUUUCAUUCCAAACACAAGUACAAGAUAAAUGCAGUUGGAGUGGAUCUUGACUUGCAUCAAGAAAUCAAAGCAGGCAUGAAGGGAAGAGAGUACGGCUCUCUCAUCUGCAGCCCCUUCAUGGAGCCCAGCAGUUAUAGCUCAUCACCAUCUCUUUUGGCACCCAAGGAUCUUCCCAGCCCACGCAAACUGCACAGCUUCGUGGCUGGUAGGUUUUGUGCAGCACCAAUGUGUCUUACUGUGACUAUUGCUGCGGUAAGAUGGGUCAACCUUAUGUUGGUAUCCGUGGCAUUAUGCAAAUUUUUGUGUCUAUGAAAGUUACCUAAUUAAGUCAUGUUCCUUAAAAGUCUCAAAUGGGAUUUCUCAAAUUGUCUUUGAGCUGAUGCUCACUGCUGUAACCAGCACAUGUCCAGGGAGCAGCUUAGCUGUGUGCACUGCCAAGCAGCCCAGCUGAUGGCUGCAGCGCAAAAGGAGCACAGGGGGAGGCACAGCUCCGAAUGCCACGAAUCCCAGUGUCUGCGCCUGCUGUGGAGACAUUUGAGGAGGACCUUCUAUCAGGAGACCAUGCUUUACUGGGUGAGCAGGAGGACCCGUCUCCACUUCAGCUGUCAGCGAAGGAGCAGCAAAUCAGUAGGUUGAAUAACAAACCCCAAACUAGGGUUUUUCUGCUCAAGGGUUCUAGAAGAACGUGAAACCGGCACUGCUCAGCUAACUGUGUGGAUCUCACUGUGUAAGUCAGCACUGAUGGCUGAGAAAUGGAAGACAGAAGUAGCUAAGCCUUUUAAAAGGCUUCAGAGGUAAUCCAUUGAUCUGCUAAUUUAUGUCAAGCUUUUUUACCAAACAACCUCUUGGGAACUGCAUUUGUGUAAUUAUUGUUUCUGUUCCCUUAUGGUCUGCAAAAUGUUGGGAAUAGCAAAUACUUUCCAGAAGACUGGAAACGUUUCUGAGGUCUGAUGCCUCUACUGGAAAUCUUUGAAAUAGUCUGCAAGAAUGUGGUUAAAGUGAUACAGUCAGCCCCGAGUACUUCAGUUGCCUUCCCCUGAGGAGCUGAUAAUGACAGCUAUUGGAGACACUGUUGGGCUGGAUGAACCUCAGACAAAUUUUAUGUCCUUAUGUCUUCGACAGCGUCUAAAGCCUGAGGCAGUCUGUGUUCUCCAGAAGAGCUCAAUACAGAGGAGUCGCUUUCAUCAUCUUGAUUUGUGCAACGCUUUCUUAGUAGAGGUGCAGAUUCUUGUGCAAUAACAACAGCUUGCAAAAGUUACUUUUUGUGGAAGCUCUAGAAAUAAUCAACAGAUCUCAGUAGUCCAGGGCCAUAGGCAGGAGGAGGAAGGAGCAGUGCACUGCUUCACUUUUAUCUUGAUUUGCUCUUAUUUAGUACAUGCCCCCAAAGGACAUCCGUGAGCUUUUCAAGUCAUUUUGCCUCCAACAGCUACUCCAAAAGCAACAAAUAUGUCUAGCAAGCAUCCAAAUGCCCUGCAAGCCAAUAAGUUUUAUCUUCAACCCAGAUCUGGAGCAACGGUAGUGAACAAAUGCUGUUUUUCUAGAUUUGAUCAGGUGUGUGGCAGAUGACUACUUUGCCCAGUACGGCUGGUAAGAUGCCUUAAUAACUCUGCACCCAGGAAGAGCAGCAACAAUAGAUUCAGAUGACAACAAGUAACUUUUGUUCAGCACUUAGCCACAUAGAUACGUAGCCAGCAUUAGUAAUCUGGAGUACACAGAAAGCCUCAUGAAGCUUCACAGGAGAGCUGUUGAUGUUGCUUGUUCUUCAGAGGUCCCUCAGCAGCAUCCCCAAAGAAAACGCAGUGAAACAAGUAGUUUAAUUCUCAGGCAAUAGCAUGUUGCCACUGAAGAGCAGAUUUCUUCCAGCCUUGAAUCUGCUUUUUCAUUUUCUCUCUCUAAGCCAACAGUACCUAUCACCUUGCCGUGCGGGACUUUUUCCCAGCAUGCAGUUAACUCCCAUUGUUCCCUGGAAGCACAUGCCUGCAGGGACUUCAUCACUCCGAUCUCUAUCAGUCGUUGUUGGACACUGCAUUCCUUUAGGAUAAAGCUUUAGAAGUGCUUUUGUGGGACCCAUUGAUAAGGCAAACAGCUCUGACAGCCCCAAGAGCCCAGCAGCGCUCAGCCUAACCCAGAUGCGCUGUGCUGAGGCAGUGACUGCUUUCCUUUUCUUUACUAGCUUGUGAGGGCAGUUUGCAGCUUCUUUUUUGUUAAUUCUUGCAAAAGCUCUCCUUCCUCUCCCGAGCAGAAUGGCACAGGAGUUUGAGCCAAAUCUUUAAAUUGGGUACAGAGUUUUUCUGGCAUUUAUGUAUUUUAAACACAGGUUUAACUCUCUGGCUGGAGCGGACCACCACGUUGGGGACAGCGAGUCCAAAGCAGUGACUGGGGCUGAGUGGGGCAAGGCUUUCCUCCCCAGCAGGACAUGGACCCCCGUGGCAGCAGACACGGCGGAGGUGGGAGGCUUGCCUGUUGCCUUUCUGGAGGAGCGGCGGGGAGGAUCAGGUGGACAGUCCCACGUCCCCCACCCAGAGCCCACCAAGGGUGGAGCCCAUGGGGAAGAAGGAUUUGUGCCCAGUUAUGGUCCAGUGUGCAAUGGAAAGUGGAGCUCAGCUCUCAGCGAGUGCUGCCUGGUGCAGGGCACAGAGCUCAGCUCUUCUGUUCUCGGGUGACCUGCAGCAGCCAAAGCGCUCCCCUAUGCAGCUGUACUGGGGAUUAGCAGUAAAUGCACUUGCAUUACAUUUAAAUUACUUCCUCAAAUAUAUUUGUCAGUAUUCAUGUUUUCCUUAAUUAAAAUGAGCCCAUUUCAGCAUAUACCUGCCCAUUCAUGUGCAUCUCUACACGUAUAUCUGACCACGACCGCCACCAUAUUUGGGUCUGUGUAAUGAUUGUUGUUCUGAGUCUGGAAAGACUUUGCACAUUCAGAGUUAUGUGCAAGAAAGGAAUCCUGUGCAGUGCAAACUCUGCAUAACCUUUGUAGCGUCUGGAGCAACAGUAAAGAAUUUGGGAUUGGGAACUCACCACAUUGUUACUUAUUGGUAUUGCAUUCCGAAGAGGACAAAUCAGGGCCUUGUUGUGCUAGGUUCUGCAAUUUAAAAAAGCCUUUGCUUUGAUGAAUUUGCUGCCUAAGUGGCAUUGUUCUGUUCUUGAUGACAAGUUGUUUUUCAGAAAACAAGUCCAGUUUAUUAAAUUAAAAUCUCUCCUAAAAUAGAAAAUGUAUUUAGCAAAGUUCCUCUGCUUCCAUUCCUAGUAUAAAACCAAUUUAUUUACUUCUGUAGUUGAAAUUGCACACAUUAAAGGAGAACAUAAAGUUUCUUUAAUUUUGUUUGAUGUUCUUCAUAUAGUUUUGUAUGAAAGUUGGGAUUAUGUGACCAUCUUGUGGCUGUAACACUUGUCAGUUCAUUUAAAUCAAUGUUUUAAUUUGUUAUUUAUAAUUAUCACGAAGUUUAUUGGGUUUAGUGGUAAUACCCAAAUUCAUAAUGCCUGGAAGGAAAAGCUGCAGUGUGAACUCACCUAUAACAGUCGACAUUGGAGACAGUACACAGAAAGCAACCACAGAUUGCCAGGUUCACAAGCGCUCCUGUUUGUCUGUCUGUGUGUGUGUCUGUCUGUGUGUCUCAGAGAUGAUUUUUAGAUUGUUUUUCAUAUCAUGAUGCAAACAUAAAGUAAACCUUUUUUUGCAAAAGCUUGGAAGUGACUUAGAAGUGUAAGAAUGUAUUGGGAAGCGUAUCUGAAAAUCUCAGCUGUUCUCAGGGCAACAGUGAACAAUACAGAUUUUGCACAGGCAGGUGACUUGUGAAGGUGGGAGUCUUGGAAAGAAAAUGUAGAAGGAAAUCAUGCAGGGAUAUGGGGCAGGCGGAUUCACGGGGCCAGUGAGUUAGAGACUUUUACAAAGCCACCUUGUUCUUCUCUUGGUUUCAGUGGGUUUUCAUUUAACAAAGAAAGUAGCUGGAAAAAUUACCCAGAAAUAUUUGACCUUCAAAAAGGCCUCUAAGGCACAAUUACCUGAUGUUCACUCAACUGGUUCACGUGGUUCCCACUCUAAAUUACUUUCUGGGUUCACCCAUGUGUGAAAAGGGGUCUGAUUAUAUGGAGGAGGGCAAAUGAGAAAAGAAACUUCAGGAAGGAGAGAAAUACACCAGGGAAUUUUACUGGUUGUAUUUGCUUCAAGGGAAGGAAAGGGCAAACAAAUGUAGCCAACUCAAAGUAGCUUUUUGGCUUUGAACUUCAAAAGAAAGUAACAUAGGAGAGAUGUGGGGUAUCCGUAGCACUCGAUAUAAGCUGUUUCAUAGAGUUAGGUAGGAAUUAUAGAAUACAUUGUACUUAGCUUUCUUAGCCAGAUGGCAAAUUCUUUUUUUUCCUCGAGUACAACAAAAAUGUAACAAAAAUCCUGUUUUCCCCCCCAUGUCUUUUCUUUCCUUCCGCCCUUGGUUGCCCUGCACACAGGAGAUCACUUGGCUGUCCGGCCACCAGUGUUCACGCCAGGGUCCAGCCAUGCCCUUUCUGCAGAGUUUCAGCUCUUUCCACUGCAUGCUCCUGACAUUGGAAGAAAGCAAGUGAGUUAUCUAGGGCUGCAAUCUCUAUUAGGCUUUAGGAAAAAUACUUUUUUAAGGAAAUAAAUUCCAUGGUUGGCACAAAAGUGCCUCUAUCACGCACACUUUUCAGUGCAAGGUAUAACCAGGUGCACAUAAAAGUGUGACUUCAAUAGUUUAGUAUUGGCCAAGACACAAAGCAGCAUUUUACCUGCUGCUCCUCUGCUCUGAACUGCCAGCAGAAUUGCAUGGGUGCCCAAUUGCAUGGGCCUUCGUAUGGUGUGAAAAGAGCAACGCCUGAAAACUUGAAGACUUCUUGAAACUGGGGAAUUGGAUUUCCAUCUUUGAUGAGAGAGCACAGUGUGCAAUAGGAAGUACAUUUGUAUGGAAGCAAAUUCUUUUAAAUAAUCUCGGAACUUAAAGACUUCCAUGAAUAAAAGCAAGUAGUCAGUACACCUUCUGUCUGCAUUAUCUAACAAAAGGAACAAAUUCUCUGAGACAGGGUAGAAAGACAAGAGCAUCAACAUGAUAACUGUACUGCUGAAGCAGUUUUUAAUUAUUUGACCAAGUAUCUUUGUGAAAAUUUUUUUGGGGGGGAUUUCACAUUUGAGAUA